GACGAACGCUGGCGGCGUGCCUAAUACAUGCAAGUCGAGCGAAGUUUUUCUGGUGCUUGCACUAGAAAAACUUAGCGGCGAACGGGUGAGUAACACGUAAAGAACCUGCCUCAUAGACUGGGACAACUAUUGGAAACGAUAGCUAAUACCGGAUAACAGUAUUUCUCGCAUGAGAGAUAUUUAAAAGUUGGUUAUGCUAACACUAUGAGAUGGCUUUGCGGUGCAUUAGCUAGUUGGUGGGGUAAAGGCCCACCAAGGCGACGAUGCAUAGCCGACCUGAGGGGGGGAUCGCCCAAUCUGGGCCUGAGACCCGCCCCAGACUCCCACGGGAGGCAGCAGUGGGGAACUUCCCGCAAUGGGCAAAACCCUGACGGACCAACGCCGCGGGGGUGAAGAAGGUUUUCGGUUCGGAAAGCUUUUUUGUUAGGGAAGAAGGGAUCUUUCUUAACUCUCCAUUUAAGAGACGGUCCCUAGCCAAAACCCCCCGGCUAACUACGU
rnacentral:rRNA from 1 species